GCAACCAGUCCAAUACUUGGUCUGUUAGAGACCAUCUCAGAAGUAGUAACUUUAUUUCAUGGGGAUACUUACGCACGACGGCAGGGUUUUUAUUUCAAAUACAACACUUUGAAUGACUCCCACCCGGGCUGGACAUAAAUACAUAUUUAGAUUAUCGUUUCACAGUUAAAAUUUUGCACUUGCGACAAUCAAACCAACUUGUGAACUCGGUGAGCUUUGAAAAGAUUCCAAAACAUGACCAAUCGCACAGUAACCACCUACAAGAAUGGAAACAAAACUCGAAAAACAAUUGUCAGCCAAAAGGUUUCAACCAGGGCUACAAAAACGGGCGUCACACAUAGUGUUGAGAAGAAGGUUACCGUUAUAGAAAAAGUAAACAUACCACAGCCAAAGAGGGGAUCCAACAGCUAUCCUUACAUGACUGUGGGUUGUAUUACUUACGGAAGAAAUUAAAGCAAAAAAAUUUCUAAAUUUGAUAAAAUUUUGUAAGGGCCUGAACUAAUAUUUUGUUAACAGUCCACUUUUUUAACAAGAAAAUUCAAUAAAAACGUAUAAUUGAAACAAUGUG